rnacentral:rRNA from 1 species
GACGAACGCUGGCGGCGUGCUUAACACAUGCAAGUCGAACGGAAAGGCCCUGCUUUUGUGGGGUGCUCGAGUGGCGAACGGGUGAGUAACACGUGAGUAACCUGCCCUUGACUUUGGGAUAACUUCAGGAAACUGGGGCUAAUACCGGAUAGGAGCUCCUGCCGCAUGGUGGGGGUUGGAAAGUUUCGGCGGUUGGGGAUGGACUCGCGGCUUAUCAGCUUGUUGGUGGGGUAGUGGCUUACCAAGGCUUUGACGGGUAGCCGGCCUGAGAGGGUGACCGGCCACAUUGGGACUGAGAUACGGCCCAGACUCCUACGGGAGGCAGCAGUGGGGAAUAUUGCACAAUGGGCGGAAGCCUGAUGCAGCAAUGCCGCGUGCGGGAUGACGGCCUUCGGGUUGUAAACCGCUUUCGCCUGUGACGAAGCGUGAGUGACGGUAAUGGGUAAAGAAGCACCGGCUAACUACGUG